CCAGACUCCUACGGGAGGCAGCAGUCGGGAAUAUUGCGCAAUGGAGGAAACUCUGACGCAGUGACGCCGCGUGCAGGAAGAAGGUUUUCGGAUUGUAAACUGCUUUAGACAGGGAAGAUAAUGACAGUACCUGUAGAAUAAGCCCCGGCUAACUACGUGCCAGCAGCCGCGGUAAUACGUAGGGGGCAAGCGUUAUCCGGAUUUACUGGGUGUAAAGGGUGCGUAGGUGGCAUGGCAAGUCAGAAGUGAAAGCCCGGGGCUCAACCCCGCGGACUGCUUUUGAAACUGUCAGGCUGGAGUACAGGAGAGGUAAGCGGAAUUCCUAGUGUAGCGGUGAAAUGCGUAGAUAUUAGGAGGAACACCAGUGGCGAAGGCGGCUUACUGGACUGUAACUGACACUGAGGCACGAAAGCGUGGGGAGCAAACAGGAUUAGAUACCCCGGUACG
rnacentral:rRNA from 1 species